ACCCUAAUGGCCCACCGGUUAUCUAACCUACGCAUUACAUGGCCUGCCCAGCUCCAUUUUUUUUUUCUCUUCAGGUCAAUUAGAAUAUCAUCUAUACCCAUUUGCUCUCUGAUUCAAACCACUCUCUGUCUCUUAUCGUUAUGCCUAGCAUUCUUCGUUCCGUCGCUCUUUGCAUGGUCCUUAACUUGUUCUCAGGCUUCUUUGUUAGUCUCCCAAUUUCCUGCCCCAUAUAUCAGCACCGGUAAAAGGCACUAAUUGUACACCUUCCUUUUUAACGAUAAUGGUAAGCUUUCAGUCAGGAGCUGACAAUGUCUGCUGUAUGCGCUCCAACCCAUUUUUAUUCUUCUGUAAAUUUCCUUCUCAUGAUCAGGGUUCCUUGUGAGUAAUUGACCUAGGUAAAUGUACUCCUUCACAGACUCUAGAGGCUGACUGGCGAUCCUGAACUCUUGUUCCCUUGCCCGGCUAUCAUGAUCAUUCGGUUUGUCUUCUGCAUAUUAAUCUUCAACCCCACUCUUACACUUUCUUUGUUAAGGUCCUCAAUCAUUUGUUGUAACUCGUGUCCAGUGUUAUUGAACACGACAAUGUCAUCUGCAAACCGAAGGUUGCCGAGAUAUUCGCUGUCGGUCCUUACUCCUAAGCCUUCUCAGUUUAAUAGCUUGAAUACUUCUAAGCACGCAGUGAAUAGCAUUGGAGAGAUUGUGUCUGCUCGUCUGACCCCUUUCUUUUUAGGUAGCUUCUGACUUUUCUUGUGAAGAAUUAAGGUAGCUGUGGAGUCACUGUACAUACUUGCCAAGAUAUUUACCAGUGGACCUUUCUUGGACCGGCACGGCCUUAUCUGCCGGUAGCUCCGGGGCACGGUGCAGCUGUCGGCUGUUGAAGAUGGCGGUUGUGCUUCACAUGUCCACGGCGUACGAGCAACAAAGUGUGAUUCGAUUUCUAUGGAGCAAGGGACAAAUGCCCAAGCAAAUCCAUACGGAAAUGCAGUCCACAUAUGGGGAAAGGUGUCUCCCUUUGUGAAGUGUGAGGUGAUAGCGUUGUCAAUAAAUCAAUAAAGUAAGUUUGCGAAAGGUC